UACGUAGGGUGCAAGCGUUGUCCGGAAUUAUUGGGCGUAAAGGGCUCGUAGGCGGUCCAUCGCGUCGGGAGUGAAAAGCUGGGGCUCAACCCCAGUCCUGCUUUCGAUACGGGCGGGCUAGAGUUCGGUAGGGGAGACUGGAAUUCCUGGUGUAGCGGUGAAAUGCGCAGAUAUCAGGAGGAACACCGGUGGCGAAGGCGGGUCUCUGGGCCGAUACUGACGCUGAGGAGCGAAAGCGUGGGGAGCGAACAGG
rnacentral:rRNA from 1 species